rnacentral:rRNA from 1 species
UACACAUUAGAGGCCCUGCCUGCCCAGUGAAACUUUUUUUAACGGCCGCGGUAUUCUGACCGUGCAAAGGUAGCAUAAUCACUUGUCUUUUAAAUAAAGACUAGAAUGAAUGGCAAGACGAGGUAUCCACUGUCUCCUUUAUUUAAUCAAAGAAACUGAUCUCCCUGUGAAAAAGCAGGGAUAAAAAUACAAGACGAGAAGACCCUAUGAAGCUUACAUACACAAUUAGUUAAUAACUUAUUUAAUAUAAGCUUUUAAUACUUCUAAUUAUUAAAUUUGGUUGGGGUGACCACGGAGAAAGAAAAACCUCCGCGAAAUAAAAUUAAGAUAGCCUUUCAAAAUUAAAUAAAAAUACUUGAUCCAAUUGUAUUGAUUAACGAAACAAGUUACUCUAGGGAUAACAGCGCAAUAUUCUCCAAGAGCCCAUAUCGAAGAGAAAGUUUACGACCUCGAUGUUGGAUCAGGGUAUCCAGACAAUGCAGCAGUUGUCAAAGGUUUGUUUGUUCAACAAUUAAAAUCCUACGUGAUCUGAGUUCAAAACCGGAUCAAUAUUAAGCCUUAUUAAAAUUUUAUACUAUUAAGAUAAAAACUUAAUAUAUAUUCAAAAGAGGAACAGCUCUCUUGAAAAAGGACACAACCUAAAAUAGAGGGUAAUGAUUUUAAUAUAGCAAGGUAAAUAUAUUAGUAGGCCUAAUAGCAGCCACCUCAGGAUAUCGUCACAGAUCAUAUACAAAAUAAACCUUAAAUAUCAACAAUAAUCCAAAACCCCUACCCACCAGUGAAUUAUACUAUAAGUUAUAGUAAAAUUAAUGUUAAAACUAGUAAUAAGAAAAUAAAAUUUUCUCAUGCGCACCAAUGUAAGUCAAACUGGACUAACCACUGACAACUAUAAAUAAAUACAAAUUUAUAAACUAGAUAAUGUAUUAAAAUUUAACGUUAACCCAACACUGGAAUGCCCUAAGAAAGAUUAAAAAAUAAAGG